AGCCGUUGCGGCUGCCUAAUACAUGCAAGUCGAGCGAACGGACGAGAAGCUUGCUUCUCUGAUGUUAGCGGCGGACGGGUGAGUAACACGUGGAUAACCUACCUAUAAGACUGGGAUAACUUCGGGAAACCGGAGCUAAUACCGGAUAAUAUUUUGAACCGCAUGGUUCAAAAGUGAAAGACGGUCUUGCUGUCACUUAUAGAUGGAUCCGCGCUGCAUUAGCUAGUUGGUAAGGUAACGGCUUACCAAGGCAACGAUGCAUAGCCGACCUGAGAGGGUGAUCGGCCACACUGGAACUGAGACACGGUCCAGACUCCUACGGGAGGCAGCAGUAGGGAAUCUUCCGCAAUGGGCGAAAGCCUGACGGAGCAACGCCGCGUGAGUGAUGAAGGUCUUCGGAUCGUAAAACUCUGUUAUUAGGGAAGAACAUAUGUGUAAGUAACUGUGCACAUCUUGACGGUACCUAAUCAGAAAGCCACGGCUAACUACGUGCCAGCAGCCGCGGUAAUACGUAGGUGGCAAGCGUUAUCCGGAAUUAUUGGGCGUAAAGCGCGCGUAGGCGGUUUUUUAAGUCUGAUGUGAAAGCCCACGGCUCAACCGUGGAGGGUCAUUGGAAACUGGAAAACUUGAGUGCAGAAGAGGAAAGUGGAAUUCCAUGUGUAGCGGUGAAAUGCGCAGAGAUAUGGAGGAACACCAGUGGCGAAGGCGACUUUCUGGUCUGUAACUGACGCUGAUGUGCGAAAGCGUGGGGAUCAAACAGGAUUAGAUACCCUGGUAGUCCACGCCGUAAACGAUGAGUGCUAAGUGUUAGGGGGUUUCCGCCCCUUAGUGCUGCAGCUAACGCAUUAAGCACUCCGCCUGGGGAGUACGACCGCAAGGUUGAAACUCAAAGGAAUUGACGGGGACCCGCACAAGCGGUGGAGCAUGUGGUUUAAUUCGAAGCAACGCGAAGAACCUUACCAAAUCUUGACAUCCUUUGACAACUCUAGAGAUAGAGCCUUCCCCUUCGGGGGACAAAGUGACAGGUGGUGCAUGGUUGUCGUCAGCUCGUGUCGUGAGAUGUUGGGUUAAGUCCCGCAACGAGCGCAACCCUUAAGCUUAGUUGCCAUCAUUAAGUUGGGCACUCUAAGUUGACUGCCGGUGACAAACCGGAGGAAGGGGGGGAUGACGUCAAAUCUCCUGCCCCUAUGAUUUGGGCUACCCCCUGCUCAAGGGACAAAUAAAGGGCGCGAAACCGCGGGUCAGCAAAUCCCCUAAAGUGUUUCCCCUUCGGAAG
rnacentral:rRNA from 1 species